AAAGAAAAAGUGUGAAUUUUCAAGGAAAUUAAGUGAAAAAGAUUAUGGAUAGGUGGUGAGUCAAUUGUUUCGGGUAAGAGACUGCACCCGAGGGCGGAAGAUAGGAGUAUUUCUACUCCUAAUAUUGCUCAGGACAGUUUGUAGAUAGUCGAGUAGGACGAGAACUA